rnacentral:rRNA from 1 species
UACGGGGGGGGGCGAGCGUUGUUCGGAAUUAUUGGGCGUAAAGGGUGCGCAGGCGGCCAUGUGUGUCAGGUGUGAAAGCCCGAGGCUCAACCUCGGAAUUGCGCCUGAAACUACAUGGCUAGAGUACUGGAGAGGGUAGCGGAAUUCAUGGUGUAGCAGUGAAAUGCGUAGAUAUCAUGAGGAACACCAGAGGCGAAGGCGGCUACCUGGACAGUUACUGACGCUCAGGCACGAAAGCGUGGGGAGCAAAAGGG